UACGGAGGAUGCGAGCGUUAUCCGGAUUUAUUGGGUUUAAAGGGUGCGUAGGCGGACUGUUAAGUCAGCGGUAAAAGCCCGGGGCUCAACCCCGUACUGCCGUUGAAACUGCAUCCCUUGAGUGCGCGAGAAGUAUGCGGAAUGCGUGGUGUAGCGGUGAAAUGCAUAGAUAUCACGAAGAACUCCGAUUGCGAAGGCAGCUCACUGGACUGCAACUGACACUGAGGCUCGAAAGUGCGGGUAUCAAACAGG
rnacentral:rRNA from 1 species